rnacentral:rRNA from 1 species
CCUACGGGGGGCUGCAGUGGGGAAUAUUGCACAAUGGGCGCAAGCCUGAUGCAGCCAUGCCGCGUGUGUGAAGAAGGCCUUCGGGUUGUAAAGCACUUUCAGCGGGGAGGAAGGCGUUAAGGUUAAUAACCUUGGCGAUUGACGUUACCCGCAGAAGAAGCACCGGCUAACUCCGUGCCAGCAGCCGCGGUAAUACGGAGGGUGCAAGCGUUAAUCGGAAUUACUGGGCGUAAAGCGCACGCAGGCGGUCUGUCAAGUCGGAUGAGAAAUCCCCGGGCUCAACCUGGGAACUGCAUUCGAAACUGGCAGGCUAGAGUCUUGUAGAGGGGGGUAGAAUUCCAGGUGUAGCGGUGAAAUGCGUAGAGAUCUGGAGGAAUACCGGUGGCGAAGGCGGCCCCCUGGACAAAGACUGACGCUCAGGUGCGAAAGCGUGGGGAGCAAACAGGAUUAGAUACCCGAGUAGUC